rnacentral:rRNA from 1 species
CGCGCAGGCGGCGCGCCAAGCGGGACUUCUAACCCCGGGGCUCAACCCCGGGCCGGGUCCCGAACUGGCGCGCUCGGGUGCGGUAGAGGAGAGCGGAAUUCCCGGUGUAGCGGUGGAAUGCGCAGAUAUCGGGAAGAACACCGAUGGCGAAGGCAGCUCUCUGGGCCGUCACCGACGCUGAGGCGCGAAAGCCGGGGGAGCGAACA